rnacentral:rRNA from 1 species
AGCAGCCGCGGUAAUUCCAGCUCCAAUAGCGUAUAUUAAAGUUGUUGCAGUUAAAAAGCUCGUAGUUGAAUUUCGAGAUCAAUUUGUCGGUCGUGCCUCGGUACGUACUGGCAUUAUUGAUUUCUCCCUUCUGAAGAACCGCGAUGUCAUUAAUUUGGUGUCGUGGGGAAUCAGGACUGUUACUUUGAAAAAAUUAGAGUGUUUAAAGCAGGCGCACGCUUGAAUACAUUAGCAUGGAAUAAUGAAAUAGGACGUUUGAUUCUAUUUUGUUGGUUUCUAGGAUCGACGUAAUGAUUAAUAGGGAUAGUUGGGGGCAUCAGUAUUCAAUUGUCAGAGGUGAAAUUCUUGGAUUUAUUGAAGACUAACUACUGCGAAAGCAUUUGCCAAGGAUGUUUUCAUUAAUCUAAGAACGAAAGUUAGGGAUCGAAGACGAUCAGAUACCGUCGUAGUCUUAACCAUAAACUAUGUCGACUAGGGAUCGGAUGAUGUUAAUUUUUAUGUACUCAUUCGGCUACCUUAAC